GCAGUCCACAGAUUAAUUGAAAGCAGGCGCUCUUCGCUGAGCGCUCGAGUCGUAGUCGGUCCCCCCGGGCCACCGGGGAGGACAACACGUUGUACACACCGCCCGUCGCUACUACCGAUUGAAUGGCUCAGUGAGGCCUUCGGACUGGCUCAGGGAGGUCGGCAACGACCACCCAGAGCCGGAAAGUUCGUCAAACUUGGUCAUUUAGAGG
rnacentral:rRNA from 1 species